rnacentral:misc_RNA from 1 species
GAUGAAGAACGUAGCGAAAUGCGAUAAGUAAUGUGAAUUGCAGAAUUCAGUGAAUCAUCGAAUCUUUGAACGCAACUUGCGCCCUCUGGUAUUCCGGAGGGCAUGCCUGUUUGAGUGUCAUGUAGACUCAAUCCCUCGGGUUUCUGAGGAGGUUGGAUUUGGGUGCUUGCCUUCUGGCUCGCCUUAAAGGACUUAGCAGGAUAGCACUGUAGUCGACGUAAUAAGUCUCGUCGGUGAAAGUGUGAUGUAUGCUUACAGAUUGCCCUUGGGCACUUUUGACUCUGACCUCAAAUCAGGUAGGACUACCCGCUGAACUUAAGCAUAUCAAUAAGCGGAGGA